GACGAACGCUGGCGGUGUGCUUAACACAUGCAAGUCGAACGGAAAGGCCCUGCUUUUGUGGGGUGCUCGAGUGGCGAACGGGUGAGUAACACGUGAGUAACCUGCCCUUGACUUUGGGAUAACUUCAGGAAACUGGGGCUAAUACCGGAUAGGAGCUCCUGCUGCAUGGUGGGGGUUGGAAAGUCUCGGCGGUUGGGGAUGGACUCGCGGCUUAUCAGCUUGUUGGUGGGGUAGUGGCUUACCAAGGCUUUGACGGGUAGCCGGCCUGAGAGGGUGACCGGCCACAUUGGGACUGGGGUACGGCCCAGACUCCUACGGGAGGCAGCAGGGGGGAAUAUUGCACAAUGGGCGGAAGGCUGAUGCAAGAACGCCGCGUGCGGGGUAGCGGCCUUCGGGUUGUAGACCGCUUUCGCCUGUGACGGAGCGUGAGUGACGGUAAUGGGUAAAGAAGCACCGGCUAACUACGUG
rnacentral:rRNA from 1 species